GAUGAACUUUGGCGGCGUGCCUAACACAUGCAAGUCGAGCGCGUCUGAUUUGAUGCUUGCAUUAAUGAAAGAUGAGCGGCGGACGGGUGAGUAACGCGUGGGUAACCUGCCCUAUACACAUGGAUAACAUACUGAAAAGUUUACUAAUACAUGAUAAUAUAUAUUUACGGCAUCGUAGAUAUAUCAAAGUGUUAGCGGUAUAGGAUGGACCCGCGUCUGAUUAGCUAGUUGGUGAGAUAACUGCCCACCAAGGCGACGAUCAGUAGCCGACCUGAGAGGGUGAUCGGCCACAUUGGAACUGAGACACGGUCCAAACUCCUACGGGAGGCAGCAGUGGGGAAUAUUGCACAAUGGGCGCAAGCCUGAUGCAGCAACGCCGCGUGAACGAUGAAGGUCUUCGGAUCGUAAAGUUCUGUUGCAGGGGAAGAUAAUGACGGUACCCUGUGAGGAAGCCCCGGCUAACUACGUGCCAGCAGCCGCGGUAAUACGUAGGGGGCUAGCGUUAUCCGGAUUUACUGGGCGUAAAGGGUGCGUAGGUGGUCUUUCAAGUCGGUGGUUAAAGGCUACGGCUCAACCGUAGUUGGCCUCCGAAACUGGAAGACUUGAGUGCAGGAGAGGAAAGUGGAAUUCCCCAGUGUAGCGGUGAAAUGCGUAGAUAUUGGGAGGAACACCAGUAGCGAAGGCGGCUUUCUGGACUGCAACUGACACUGAGGCACGAAAGCGUGGGUAGCAAACAGGAUUAGAUACCCUGGUAGUCCACGCUGUAAACGAUGAGUACUAGGUGUCGGGGGUUACCCCCCUCGGUGCCGCAGCUAACGCAUUAAGUACUCCGCCUGGGGAGUACGCACGCAAGUGUGAAACUCAAAGGAAUUGACGGGGACCCGCACAAGUAGCGGAGCAUGUGGUUUAAUUCGAAGCAACGCGAAGAACCUUACCUAAGCUUGACAUCCCUUAGACCGGUGUUUAAUCACACCUUCCCUUCGGGGCUGAGGUGACAGGUGGUGCAUGGUUGUCGUCAGCUCGUGUCGUGAGAUGUUGGGUUAAGUCCCGCAACGAGCGCAACCCUUGUCUUUAGUUGCCAGCAUUCAGUUGGGCACUCUAGAGAGACUGCCAGGGAUAACCUGGAGGAAGGUGGGGAUGACGUCAAAUCAUCAUGCCCCUUAUGCUUAGGGCUACACACGUGCUACAAUGGGUGGUACAGAGGGUUGCCAAACCGUGAGGUGGAGCUAAUCCCUUAAAGCCAUUCUCAGUUCGGAUUGUAGGCUGAAACUCGCCUACAUGAAGCUGGAGUUACUAGUAAUCGCAGAUCAGAAUGCUGCGGUGAAUGCGUUCCCGGGUCU
rnacentral:rRNA from 1 species